rnacentral:rRNA from 1 species
AACGAACGCUGGCGGCGUGCCUAACACAUGCAAGUCGUGCGAGAAAGUUCCUUCGGGAGCGAGUAAAGCGGCGCACGGGUGAGUAACACGUAGGUAACCUGCCCCCCAGUCUGGAACAACUAGAGGAAACUCUAGCUAAUGCCGGAUGAGACCACGAUCCCUUCGGGGGUUGCGGCCAAAGAUGGCCUCCACUUGUAAGCUAUCGCUGAGGGAUGGGCCUGCGGGCCAUUAGCUUGUUGGUGAGGUAACGGCUCACCAAGGCUGUGAUGGCUAGCUGGUCUGAGAGGAUGACCAGCCACACUGGGACUGAGACACGGCCCAGACUCCUACGGGAGGCAGCAGUGGGGAAUAUUGCGCAAUGGGCGAAAGCCUGACGCAGCGACGCCGCGUGGGUGAUGAAGGCCUCGGGUUGUAAGACUCUGUCACCU